AUUACACGGAGACCAUUUCCUGAGGGCAACAUACUGUCAUACGCACAUCUAAGCAGUGAUGUGAUCCAGGGUAAUUCGAACGGAUGCUCGAUACCAAACGAAGAGACGCGAACACCAAUUGACAAUCGAACUAAAGAUGAUGAUAACCGACAACACC